AUUGAACGCUGGCGGAAUGCUUUACACAUGCAAGUCGAACGGCAGCACGGACUUCGGUCCGGUGGCGAGUGGCGAACGGGUGAGUAAUGUAUCGGAACGUGCCCAGUCGUGGGGGAUAACGUAGUGAAAAUUACGCUAAUACCGCAUACGAUCUAUGGAUGAAAGCGGGGGAUCGCAAGACCUCGCGCGAUUGGAGUGGCCGAUAUCAGAUUAGGUAGUUGGUGGGGUAAAGGCCCACCAAGCCAACGAUCUGUAGCUGGUCUGAGAGGACGACCAGCCACACUGGAACUGAGACACGGUCCAGACUCCUACGGGAGGCAGCAGUGGGGAAUUUUGGACAAUGGGCGAAAGCCUGAUCCAGCCAUUCCGCGUGCAGGAUGAAGGCCCUCGGGUUGUAAACUGCUUUUGUACAGAACGAAAAGGUUUCUACUAAUACUAGGAGCUCAUGACGGUACUGUAAGAAUAAGCACCGGCUAACUACGUGCCAGCAGCCGCAGUAA
rnacentral:rRNA from 1 species